rnacentral:rRNA from 1 species
AAUGAACGCUGGCGGCGUGCCUAACACAUGCAAGUCGGAUGUGCCGCAAGGUGCAUGGCAGACGGGUAGUAACGCGUGGGGAAUCUACCUCUUUGUGGGGAAUAACGCUCCGAAAGGAGUGGUAAUACCGCAUGAGACCUUCGGCUGGGAUGCUGGAGGUGAAACCUGGGGACCGCAAGGCCUGGGGCAAGGAGAGGAUCCUGCGUCUGAUUAGCUAGUUGGCGGGGUAAUGGCCCACCAAGGCGACGAUCAGUAGCCGGCCUGAGAGGGUGAUCGGCCACACUGGAACUGAGACACGGUCCAGACUCCUACGGGAGGCAGCAGUGGGGAAUUUUGCGCAAUGGACGAGAGUCUGACGCAGCAACGCCGCGUGGGUGAUGAAGGUCUUCGGACUGUAAAACCCUGUCGUCAGGGACGAAGGUGGCACGACUAAUAAUCGUGUUACUUGACGGUACCUGGAGAGGAAGCCCCGGCUAACUCUGUG